rnacentral:rRNA from 1 species
GACGAACCGUGCGAACGUUGUUCGGAAUCACUGGGCUUAAAGGGCGCGUAGGCGGGCCACCAAGUCCGGGGUGAAAUCUUUCGGCUCAACCGGAAAAGUGCCUUGGAUACUGGUGGUCUUGAGGGAGGUAGGGGCAUGUGGAACUUCCGGUGGAGCGGUGAAAUGCGUUGAUAUCGGAAGGAACUCCGGUGGCGAAAGCGACGUGCUGGACCUCUACUGACGCUGAGGCGCGAAAGCUAGGGGAGCGAACGGG